CGUUGAGGGACGAAGGCUUGGGUAGCAAUAAGGAUUAGAUACCCUAGUAGUCCAAGCAGACAAUGAUGAAUGUCAUAGACUAGAGAUAUAUUUAGUCUAUAAAUGAAAGUGUAAGCAUUCCACCUCAAGAGUAAUAUGGCAACAUAUAAACUGAAAUCAUUAGACCGUUUCUGAGACCAGUAGUGAAGUAUGUUAUUUAAUUCGAUGACCCGCGAAAAACCUUACCACAGUUUGAAUAAUUUAUUUUUAUAAUUAUUUAUACAAGCGCUGCACGGCUGUUUUUAGUUAAUGUCGUGAGAUCUGGUUAAGUCCUUUAAUUAACGAAAACCCUUACUUUAUUUGUAUAUAAAGUUGUUCGCCGUUAUAUUGGUUAGAUAAUAGGGAUUAAG
rnacentral:ncRNA from 1 species